ACACAUGCAGUCGAACGGUGAAAGAGAGCUUGCUCUCUGGAUCAGUGGCGAACGGGUGAGUAACACGUGAGCAAUCUGCCCCUGACUCUGGGAUAAGCGCUGGAAACGGCGUCUAAUACCGGAUACGAGCUGCGAAGGCAUCUUCGGCAGCUGGAAAGAAUUUCGGUCAGGGAUGAGCUCGCGGCCUAUCAGCUAGUUGGUGAGGUAAUGGCUCACCAAGGCGUCGACGGGUAGCCGGCCUGAGAGGGUGACCGGCCACACUGGGACUGAGACACGGCCCAGACUCCUACGGGAGGCAGCAGUGGGGAAUAUUGCACAAUGGGCGCAAGCCUGAUGCAGCAACGCCGCGUGAGGGACGACGGCCUUCGGGUUGUAAACCUCUUUUAGCAGGGAAGAAGCGAAAGUGACGGUACCUGCAGAAAAAGCACCGGCUAACUACGUGCCAGCAGCCGCGGUAAUACGUAGGGUGCAAGCGUUAUCCGGAAUUAUUGGGCGUAAAGAGCUCGUAGGCGGUUUGUCGCGUCUGCUGUGAAAACCCGAGGCUCAACCUCGGGCCUGCAGUGGGUACGGGCAGACUAGAGUGCGGUAGGGGAGAUUGGAAUUCCUGGUGUAGCGGUGGAAUGCGCAGAUAUCAGGAGGAACACCGAUGGCGAAGGCAGAUCUCUGGGCCGUAACUGACGCUGAGGAGCGAAAGGGUGGGGAGCAAACAGGCUUAGAUACCCUGGUAGUCCACCCCGUAAACGUUGGGAACUAGUUGUGGGGUCCAUUCCACGGAUUCCGUGACGCA
rnacentral:rRNA from 1 species